CGAACGCUGGCGGCGUGCUUAACACAUGCAAGUCGAACGAGAACGUCCCUUCGGGGGCUAGUAUAGUGGCGCACGGGUGAGUAAUACAUAGGAACGUACCGAUAGGUGGGGAAUAACCUCGGGAAACCGUGGCUAAUACCGCAUGAUGUCUUAGGACCAAAGAGGGCCUCUUCUUGAAAGCUCUUGCCUGUUGAUCGGCCUAUGUCCCAUUAGCUUGUUGGUGAGGUAAAGGCUCACCAAGGCUACGAUGGGUAGCUGGUUUGAGAGGAUGAUCAGCCACACUGGAACUGAGACACGGUCCAGACUCCUACGGGAGGCAGCAGUGGGGAAUCUUGCACAAUGGGCGAAAGCCUGAUGCAGCAACGCCGCGUGAGUGAAGAAGGUUUUUGGAUUGUAAAGCUCUUUCGGCUAGGAAGAAGGGUCUAGGAAUUAAUACUCCUUAGAUUUGACGGUACUAGAAGAAGAAGCACCGGCUAAUUCC
rnacentral:rRNA from 1 species